rnacentral:sRNA from 1 species
GCGAGACGGGUGGCCCAUCGGCCGAGUGCGACCGAUAAACUGUUCACGGCGACGCCAGGCGCAGCCCCGUGCGUCGUCCGCAAAUGAUCAGCCAGCAGCCGCUGCAACCACAGGGAG